GGGGAACGGCCACAAAAUGGCCGCCGCGGCGCUGGUGGGGGGAGGGGCCUAUCCCAGGGCUGGCAGCUGCGCGGAGAUGAGGGGUCCUGGGCGGGCCGCCCCAGAGCGGAGAUAAUGGGCCGAUCUCUUCUAAUGAAGAAAUGUCAUCUAUUCAUCUCUCCAUUUAAAGUUUGAAUUUAUUCCAAAUUUCUUCAUAAUUGUUAGCUCCUAGAGUUGUAUUUUCCUUCAGAUGUUCCUCAAACUUUCUGGUUUAAAGGCAGAAGAUAUUUUUUUAAUAGCAAAAUCCAUUGAUUUCUGCCAAAUUUCUAAGUAAGCACCCUUUUUUUUUUCUUCUCCCUUGUAGAGCCCCAACACUGCCUUGAUAGGGCAGUUUAUCUGUUACUUAGUUUCAAGAGGUUUGGGAAGUUUAAGCAGUGAUUUUUGGGGGGUUUCACUUCUCUUCUGGAUCUUCGCAGUUAAUUACAGCCAGUAGAAGAUGAGUGAACAUUGAUCAAGUCCUUUUGACACUUAUGUUGCAGAGGUCUCAGGAAGGUUCAGUAAGCUGUAACUUUUUCUACAGUUUGUUUAUAGGCUCUGUUGAAAAUAUUAAAAUCUCUUGAAACCUUCAUAAAAAUAGGUGGGUUUUUUUUUUCAAAUGAUUUCCUAGGUAACUUGGAAGAAAAUUGCCAUAUAGUCAUAUUUCUCCGUGGCCGAAAUCGCUAGACCCUUUUUUCUGUUUUGCACCAGUGUAUUGGAAGUCUGGGACAGAAAGUGGAACUUGAAUGUUUUGACAAGAUUGUUAUCUAACACUGUCAGGAAAAAAAGUUAUCCUAUGCUCACAGAGUCAAUAUGAAGCUUUCCUAAGAUAAGAACAUAGUGAUUUGUUAGUCUGGCAGUAGAGAAAGAGUUAACCAUGAGGUGACAAAAAGGCUCCAAACUGCAAGGUUUUAGUGAUAAAGAUGAAGAAAGAAAAGCAGAACAUUUGUAUCUACACUUGAGACCUGCCUUUCCUUUUCAGUUUCUAUGUUUAUUUCAAGAUUCCUGUUGAAGAUUUACCUCCCUUUGGAUUUCAUAGUCCGUGGGACCUGUUGUUGCUAUGUUCUUUAUGGUUCUGAAUUCAAAUCAUAAAAUUAUUUUUGGCACAUGGGUCCUGUAUGUCUUUUAAUAUCCUCAGUAUGUGAUAUGGAACGUGUAGAGGCAAUUUUGAAAGGCUAAUUCUUGGGAUCUGCUAGGGGUGCUCUUUGGAAAUUUAGGAGCUUUGUUGGGUUGUCUCAUUUCUGCCUCCCAACAGCUCUCAGUAUGUGAUGUGACAUAACACUUUAAAAAAUUCUUAAAAUCUUGAUGAAAUUCUGAUUAUUUCAGCAACAACCUCUGUGAUCUAUUAAUGUAACUAAUUAAAUAAAUAGGGAAAUGCACAAUUAAGAUAAGCUGAAUUCUCUUCUGUUUUCUUUUCUUUCACCAUCAGAGAAUUGGGCAACAUGAUCCUAAACAAACACUGGUGCACCUUCUGUAGUUGCAAACCUUUAACCUUUUUAUCAUUGUUCAGUGAGUAGCCUUAAUCCCCUAUUUACUGCACCUUAUUCAGACCCUGCUCUGAAGACACUUUAAUUUUCAUAUUAGGUCGUCUUCUGCUCUCAUCACUUUAGUAUCUGAAUGCUUCACAAACAUUGAUGCUUUAGCUUGACACACAUGAAGCAUGAGGAGGUGUUAUUACCUUCUCCCCACUCCCCUAGAUGGAUUGUUUAGGCACAGAGAGGUUAAAAGAAAAAGUUUCUAUUAAUCUGGGAUGCUUAAUUUGAGAUCAUUAGGAUUUGAUUUUUUCCAAGUACCUGAAAAAUGUUUGAUACCUUUCCCAUUGACUUGAGUUUGGGAAGUGUGGGUGCUCAGCUCUUCCCCAGGUCCUGCUCCAGGGCCUCGAUUUGGACAUCUAGAAAACAAGGAAAAUGAAAUUGCUAACCACCCAAGGAAUGUUCUUUAAGGCACUUGCUUAGUAGCACAUUAGGGACUCUGCGGCAGAAGUAGAAUCCAGCUCUCCAGGUAACUAUUCACUUGCCUUAACCUUGAGACAAUGCAAUCCUCUUUUUACUCAGUGCACACCUUCAGAGUAGUCUGUACCAAACCCACAAUAUUUACAAGACUGAGAAAAGGGUGCGGGAUGUCCUCUGACUGGAUCCUGUUUUUGCUCCUUGGUACCUCAUGUUUAGGAAGAAUUCCUCUGGGAAGGAUCUCCUGGUUCCUUGGACCAGUAUUUAUUAAUACUAGGUCCUGUUGGGGGUUCUUUGCUCGGUGUCUCCUUCUAGAUCCCUUCUCUUGGACAUGUGACUUCCUUUUCCUUUUGUAUCAUCAUUUUGUUGCACAAAUACCCACCAGUUCUAGGUAGGCCUAGACCCUUGACCCAGGUUUUUCAUGAUGUUCCCCUUGCCACUUGUGCAUUAAAUAAAAUCAGGGUUCUAGUAGAAACACCAGAUACUUUCAUUGCACAUAGUGUUGAUUCAUCCCCAGAGCAUGUACAUCUGUAUGUUAAAUGAGGCUGAUCUGGAAAAAUGUGUAAUUAAAAACAAUCAAAAUUAUAUGCACAAGGAAACGUGUCAUGGACAGCCUUAAUUGUACAUUCCUUAAUUCUUAAGUGUUUAAGGUUUUUUUAAUAUAUGGGUGUUUGUAUGUGUAAUUUCCUAAUAUUUAAAAAAAGCAAAAUGAAAAGAAAUUUGUUAUAUUUACAUUUUCCACUUGAAUUAAUUAAUGGAUGGUUUCACACAGGUUUGCCAACAGCAAAGGAAUGGUAAAACACUCAUUGGCCUGUUCUCUUGAGUUUGUAGGAGAAUGGGCUUUUGAGGACACUAACACUUAGCUGUUUCUCUUAAGCUUGUACCCUUCUUUGUUCCCUCCAGCCUGUCACCAUUAUCUUUUCGCUGCCCUUGACACCUCAGUCCCAUUCGCCUUGCUUUUCUAUUGUUAAUCUGUGCUUCUCAGGCAUUUCAUUCCUGUCCCAGCCUUCUUGUCUAGUCAGUUGUAUUUGCUUUUCAGAUUUGCUGGCGAAAUCUCAAUCUCUCAAUUCCCAGCUUCUUUCCUCUCUUAUUUUGCCCCAGUCCCCUUGGCCAGCCAAUCUCAGCUUCUUGCUUCCCUUUCUCAUCUCAUCUCUCCUCUGUGGCUCCCCACCCUAGCCUUCUCCUGGGGCCCCUACACCUUGUUGCUGUAGUCUUUCUCUUCCCUUGCUUCUUUCUCAGGCUGACUGCUCAGUUCCAAUUCUGUUUUCACAUGCCCUCUUGUCAUAUUUGUCUUCUUUUCUCAUCCUAGUUCAUAGUCCCAAACCCUUUGUCCAAUGACUCCUAAUCUCUCCCUUACUCCUGGGUCUCCCAUUUCCAUCUUUUAAAUCCUGAUCUUCUCACAUUCACAGUCCUAGCCUCUGCUCCUCCAUGCUUGGGUCUGAGUCCUUAUUAAAAUAUGUUCUUUUCCAUUUCCCUGGCCCAUCUUGCAUUCAAAUUAGAUGCUUUCCCAGACAUGUUCUCAAGGUGCUAACAGGGUUGGUCUUACAGAGUCCAGAAGAGACAAGCUUCUUGUAUCCUAAUCAUUACCUGAAGCAACUGGAAGAAGUCACUGCAAGGGAAGUAUAGUUUAGCUUCUGUAGCCCUCUUUUUCUCUGGGAUUUUGCUCUCUCUCUGUGGGCUGGCACCUGCCCGGUUCAGUGACAUGGAGGAGCUGUGCGGGGAUGGAGCAUGUAAGGUAUUCUGUCAGAAUGACUCAUGAAGAGUCUGGUCAGUACAAAGAAGUGUGAGUGGCAUGAACAUUGUUAGAAAAGAUGGUCUAUUCACCUCAGUUUGUACAAAGAUCAAAGUCUACUGAGCAUGUACACACUUAAAACAACAACAAAAACAGAUUUUGGUAGAUUUUUCCACAGAUAGUAAAAGAGAUAUUCCCAAGACAAAGGCAUGCCUCUUCCAAGGAUCAAGUAAUAGCAAAACCAUGUGUAGCACUCUCAUGUUGUGGAACUAUUCAAAGAAAAGGUUUCCAGAAUGUUUUCAGCAAUGUAGUAUAUUUCCCGUUACCUUAUUCCCAGAAACGGCUGCCCUGUUUUGGUGUAGAGAGAAAGGUAGUAGUUUCAACUUAAACAGUUAAGUAUGGCAGGUAACUGAAAAUGUUCUUAUAAUUUUGAAGUGUUGAGCAGUCUCACCUAUAAGCUGCUCUAUUGAUUGCACAUGUAGCAUUUAUAGGGAGCAUAAAUUUGACAUUUGUCGCUUAUGUCACACUUGAGAGUUUUCCUGUGUGCUGUAGCAUGUAUGUACUGUAAUGCAGGAUUUGGAUUAACCUUGCAAACAGGUCUGAUCUCUGAAUUGUUUGCUCAGAAGGUAACAAGUGUCAAAGGUAUCUCAGCCAGUGUGGAUCUCUAUUUCUACAUAAACAAAGUAGCAGUACCCAGAAAUCCUUCCAGGAUUCACAAUUCCUGUAAACUAUAUAGAACUGGAAGGGUUCUUCCAUUGGUAUUGUGAUGGAGUUACAAACUUGACUAUCUAGUAGAAUUCUGAGGUAAUAGAAAUAAGUACUUUCAAAUAUAUUUAACAGCCUGAGUACUUGUUGAGGCCAGUUAAAGUAAUUUAGAAUUGUGGGUCACUAUUAACGCAACAUUAAAAUAAGGGAAAUUUUACAUACAUUUUUUCUCAUAUUUAAAACCUUUCAGUUCAUAAAUCCUGUUUGCUGCUUUCAGCCUUUCCCCCAGAAUACAUUUAGGUGGAAGAACUAUCAUAAGAAAUGUCAUGAUCUGUUUUCUCUGUUUAAAAAUCGCAAAUUCUCUGAUUAAAACCCCCCAAAUCCAUGUUUUUCUGUGAUUAAAAUGAAACACCACUAUACAUAUAGAUAUCAGUUGAACACAAUGUUUUUUAUUGAUCUUUUUACAAUUUUAAACAAUUUGAAAGCCUGCCACUGUCUCAA